rnacentral:rRNA from 1 species
AACGAACGCUGGCGGCAUGCCUAACACAUGCAAGUCGAACGAGACCUUCGGGUCUAGUGGCGCACGGGUGCGUAACGCGUGGGAAUCUGCCCUUGGGUUCGGAAUAACAGCGAGAAAUUGCUGCUAAUACCGGAUGAUGACGUAAGUCCAAAGAUUUAUCGCCCAAGGAUGAGCCCGCGUUGGAUUAGCUAGUUGGUGAGGUAAAGGCUCACCAAGGCGACGAUCCUUAGCUGGUCUGAGAGGAUGAUCAGCCACACUGGGACUGAGACACGGCCCAGACUCCUACGGGAGGCAGCAGUGGGGAAUAUUGGACAAUGGGCGAAAGCCUGAUCCAGCAAUGCCGCGUGAGUGAUGAAGGCCUUAGGGUUGUAAAGCUCUUUUACCCGGGAUGAUAAUGACAGUACCGGGAGAAUAAGCCCGGCUAACUCCGUGCCAGCAGCCGCGGUAAU